AAGAAACAACUGGAAUCCAGGGACAGAAACCUGGUGUUGUGGUUCACAUUUAGUGUCAGGUGUGGCCAGGUCUGACAGAAUAUCCUGAUUUCUCCGAUGAAGUGACACCUGAAUGGUGGUACGACAACUUGCAGAAGUUCCAUGUGGCGUUUGAUGGGUUAUGGAUUGACAUGAAUGAGCCAUCAAACUUCUUGGAUGGAUCGACCAAUGGCUGUCCAUCAAGCCCUCCUAAAAAUUCUCCUUACUCGCCCGGCGUACGUGAGGGUUUGCUGAGAUCUAAAACUCUGUGUGCCAUGGCUCAACAGAAGGAGUUCAUACAUUACAACAUGCACAGUCUCUAUGGACUCAUGGAAGCUAAAGUCUCUGCAAGGUGGCAAUCUAUAACAUGCACACACACACACUUAGCAUGAAGAUAAAAGGUAAUUCAAAAGGUGAUAUUUUCAUCAGUCACGGUGUCCUGCACAGUGGCUGAUGCCACCGAAUCGUCUCUUCUCCUCAGAUGCAGAACACUACCAUCAUCAUUGAAAAAGUGUGUGAUAUUGCUAUACAAACUGUAGGUUAUAUAAACACGGUCGCACAUGCAUUCCCCAGUCAGUGCAAUUUCCUGAACAUAAGUAGGACUAAUUCACCUAUGUGCUUCCAUUAACGAUUGUAUAACAACACAUUUGCACCCCUUAAUACUCCCCUACCAGUUAGCUCAGGCUACCGCUGGUCACUCAGAGCAGGAACGCCCCUAAUUAUGCAAAAUAUUAAACCUUAAAUAAAAAUGAGAUUUACUCCCAUUAUACUACCUCGAACAGUUAAUUAAAUGUUGAUAUGUGGAUUUUAAUAAUUUUGUAGAGGCUAUGUCCAUGUUCUGUCUUUCAAUCUUACCAAUAGCAACAAUGUAUUUUAAUAUGAUGUUCUUCAUGUAGCUCUGUAGUACAAUGGGGUUGACACAAUAUACAGAUCACACGCACUCACAUACUCAUUCCUGGUACUGAUUUUCAUUCCUGUUACCAAAUGUUUUUUUUUCUUCUGAUUAUUCAGUUGUUUCGUCAAAAAUAAAUAAAAUAAACUGUAUGUUUA